AACGAACGCUGGCGGCAUGCCUAACACAUGCAAGUCGAACGAAGCCUUCGGGCUUAGUGGCGCACGGGUGCGUAACGCGUGGGAAUCUGCCCUUAGGUACGGAAUAACUCAGGGAAACUUGUGCUAAUACCGUAUGAUGUCGAGAGACCAAAGAUUUAUCGCCUAGGGAUGAGCCCGCGUAGGAUUAGCUAGUUGGUGGGGUAAAGGCCUACCAAGGCGACGAUCCUUAGCUGGUCUGAGAGGAUGAUCAGCCACACUGGGACUGAGACACGGCCCAGACUCCUACGGGAGGCAGCAGUGGGGAAUAUUGGACAAUGGGGGCAACCCUGAUCCAGCCAUGCCGCGUGAGUGAUGAAGGCCUUCGGGUUGUAAAGCUCUUUUGGUCGGGGACGAUGAUGACGGUACCCGGCAGAAUAAGCCCCGGCUAACUUCGUGCCAGCAGCCG
rnacentral:rRNA from 1 species